GACGGAGGAUGCAAGUGUUAUCCGGAAUCACUGGGCGUAAAGCGUCUGUAGGUGGUCAAAUAAGUCAACUGUUAAAUCUUGAGGCUCAACCUCAAAAUCGCAGUCGAAACUAUUAGACUAGAGUAUAGUAGGGGUAAAGGGAAUUUCCAGUGGAGCGGUGAAAUGCGUAGAGAUUGGAAAGAACACCGAUGGCGAAGGCACUUUACUGGGCUAUUACUAACACUCAGAGACGAAAGCCAGGGGAGCGAACGGG
rnacentral:rRNA from 1 species